AGAGUUUGAUCCUGGCUCAGGAUGAACGCUGGCGGCGUGCCUAAUACAUGCAAGUCGAGCGAACAGAUAAGGAGCUUGCUCCUUUGACGUUAGCGGCGGACGGGUGAGUAACACGUGGGUAACCUACCUAUAAGACUGGAAUAACUCCGGGGAACCGGGGCUAAUGCCGGAUAAUAUUUAGAACCGCAUGGUUCUAAAGUGAAAGAUGGUUUUGCUAUCACUUAUAGAUGGACCCGCGCCGUAUUAGCUAGUUGGUGGGGUAAUGGCUCACCAAGGCAACGAUACGUAGCCGACCUGAGAGGGUGAUCGGCCACACUGGAACUGAGACACGGUCCAGACUCCUACGGGAGGCAGCAGUAGGGAAUCUUCCGCAAUGGGCGAAAGCCUGACGGAGCAACGCCGCGUGAGUGAUGAAGGUCUUCGGAUCGUAAAACUCUGUUAUUAGGGAAGAACAAAUGUGUAAGUAACUGUGCACGUCUUGACGGUACCUAAUCAGAAAGCCACGGCUAACUACGUGCCAGCAGCCGCGGUAAUACGUAGGUGGCAAGCGUUAUCCGGAAUUAUUGGGCGUAAAGCGCGCGUAGGCGGUUUCUUAAGUCUGAUGUGAAAGCCCACGGCUCAACCGUGGAGGGUCAUUGGAAACUGGGAAACUUGAGUGCAGAAGAGGAAAGUGGAAUUCCAUGUGUAGCGGUGAAUG
rnacentral:rRNA from 1 species